rnacentral:rRNA from 1 species
CCUACGGGGAGCAGCAGUGAGGAAUAUUGGUCAAUGGACGCAAGUCUGAACCAGCCAUGCCGCGUGCAGGAAGACGGCUCUAUGAGUUGUAAACUGCUCUUGUACGAGGGUAAACGCAGAUCCGCGUAUCUGUCUGAAAGUAUCGUCCGAAUAAAGAUCGGCUAACUUCGGGCCAACAGCCGCGGUAAUACGGAGGAUUCAAGCGUUAUCCGGAUUUAUUGGGUUUAAAGGGUGCGUAGGCGGUCGGAUAAGUUAGAGGUGAAAUCCUGAGGUUCAACUUCGGAUUUGCCUCUGAUACUGUGCGGCGAGAGAGUAGUUGCGGUAGUCGGGAUGUAUGGUGUAGCGGUGAAAUGCUUAGAGAUCAUACAGAAAAACGAUUGCGAAGGCAGCUUUCCAAGCUACUUCUGACGUUGAGGCACGAAAGCGUGGGGAGCAAACAGGAUUAGAUACCCCGGGUAGUC